AAUCGGCGGACAAUUAAUUCGCGAUGCGAUGAAUCUUCCAUCGAAGCCUUCCGAUCGUCGCCUCUCGGUGUCAGAGUCGACGUGGCUCGCUCAGAGCCCUUGUAUUGCUCCACCAGGGAAGCACGAGGACGUCACCUUACCUUUCUUCGACUCCCAUCCCCUUCCCAUGAUCCCACCCUGACCGAUGCCCUACUCAUCGGCCGCGCCCGCGCCCAAUUCCAGGCGUAAACGCUCGCCGACGUUCCCAAGCCCACAAAUCAGCAAGGUCGCUUCAAGAAUCGUACUCUCUUGCUGAAAGGUCGUUCUCUGUGAUCGAGCGCGUUUUGGGGCACUGUCUAUUGCGGAAGAUUCAAGUGUUUUAAGUUUUUGGGUUGGAAGGGCAUGAUGUCGAGCGGAGAAGUCAGGAAGGUAUCCCGUCAGGAUAUUCAACUAGUUCAGAAUCUUAUUGAACGAUGCCUGCAACUGUACAUGAACCAGAAAGAAGUAGUUGACACUUUGUCUCUCCAAGCAAAUAUAGAACCUAGUUUCACUGAACUUGUUUGGCAAAAGCUUGAGGAAGAGAAUCAAGAGUUUUUCAAAGCUUAUCAUGUUAGAUUGAUCCUUAAGAACCAAAUAGUGGUUUUCAAUAAGCUUCUUGAGAAACAGGUUGAGCUUAUGCGGAAAGCAUGCCCUCCAGGAGUUGCUGUCUUACCCUUUUCCAAUGGCUCUAAUUCUCUAGCUUAUCAUCAAAAUCCAUCAUGCUAUUUGUCUCAGCAUGCAUCCACUUCCUCAAGGCCAGAUUCCAUGCCUUACAAUGAAGAGUUUUCAAAUCCUCUUGUAAAUGCUAGAACCUCAGGGCAACCUGGCAGUGAUCCAUCUAUUCUUUCUGGGAGCAUGAAUGCCUCGAAAAAUGUCUUUUCAUCACAUAGAGACAGCAUUGGGAGGAUUCCAGGAAUGGGUGGGAUGACAGUGAAGUCAGAGCCAAUCUAUUCAAAUGAUGAGUUUCCCUUUGGUAAUGAUAGCACUAUCUUGGAACCACAAUCAUUAGCAGAUGCUUCGGUUGGAUCUUUUAGUAGCUCAGAGUUGAGUGGACAACAUAUACACAAUUCUCUCCUUGAUAUGGAUACAUCUUCAUUUGGAUUUAGUCAGAUGCCCAGAAACUUCAGCUUUUUAGAUUUAACUGACGACUUCAAUCAUUAUAUAUUAGAGAAUUACGCUAGAUCUCCUUAUAUUCCACCUGAUUCAAAUGAUUUCUCCAGCUCUCCUCCAUCAAGGGAAUUUAAAGGUAUUAUGUUGCUGCAUGCUUCCUUAUUUCUUUGUCUUGUCUAUAUAUUUUUCGACCUUGAGUUAUGCAGCUUUUUUCUUACUUCUGUUAAGAGGAAGACCCCAAAAGGCUUGACACCAAAUCCGAAGGAGUAAGUUAUGAGGAUUUUGGAAGUGGCUGACUAACGUCAUGUGGCAUCUUCCAAGGUUGAUCAGGCAUCUGUACGUUCCAAAUGACAGAUUCUUAUUCUCCAGGCACCAAUGGAUUCUAUUAAAGUUGUCUAGCUCUAAUGCCGCAUGACAGCUGCUAAAUGCUUACUCUUCGCUGCUAUUUGAAACAAUUUGCAGACGUUAUUAUGUAGCUAAGAACACCGGCGAUGAAGAGUGCGAGCAACACCUUCAUGUUGUGGCCUGUUGUGAGACUUGGAUGGCGCUGCUUCAUUCCAAUGUACAUAUGUUUUGCCUAUGUUGUUUCUCUAUCCAUCCAUUGCAAUGUGCAAGUUUCUUUGUCUGUUGAAGAACGUGCGAGAAUGCUUGCAUUUUAAUGCCAGUAAAGGCUGGAAUUCCCAUGUUGACUCAUUAAGCAGCACUAAGUGGAAUUGUUAAUAUGAUAUCGUUAUGCA